UCUGAUCACGGCUGGUUCUGCCAAUUGUACCCGGUAGGCCGUACCUGGGAAUAGGACAUGUUACCUAGUCAUCUGUUAUUACCGUUAUUAUCAUUACUAUCAUCGUAUGCCGUAUAAGCCGUACUCCAUACUUCUACCUUUCUACCCAGGAACUCGUACCUGGGAGUGACGCUGGUGCACGACCUGGAGGCGUUCAGGCGGGGGAAGGGACGGCAGUUGGCUCAACCCGCCCUUGGUGCUGCACAGCCAGUCAAUUUCGGGUCGGCGCUACCCGGUGAGAAGCGAAGAGCCGACAGAGGCUGAUGACGUGGUUGGGAUGUAGCUUUUUUGUUGUAUUUGUUUUUAUCGUUGUUGUAACGUAAGGCCACAGCACGUAUUUCCUUCACUGUAUGACAUCGAUCACCCAUUCUCCUCUGCAGCUUGUAUUUUUUCCAUCCUCAUCUACGGUACAUGCGUCCUAAACAGGCAUCAUCCAGGCUUUCCGGAGCCGUGUGGACUUGGAGCUUCCUGGGUUGUACUGCUGGUUUCGGGACGACUCCCUGCACAGCACUGUACGAUCCCUCAUGGGCUAAUGUACGAAUCGAAACGCAUGCAGUGUACGGCGCAGCACGUGCACAGCACGCAUGUGGCCCGAGCUCAUCCCUUGGAAGAUGUGAGGUGAUGGUGUCUAGCGGGUUGCUGAAAAGAGUGUUCGGCCUACAGCCCAGAGCGGGUAGGGUAGGACCUGCACCUCCGGAACUGGGGAUUACUGACGCUCUGCGCCGCUGUGUGCAGAAGUUCCAGGAGUUGGUACGUACUGGUCCAGAUGGAUUCAAUGGCCGCUACAGCUAUUUCAGCAGGAGGUUGAGGGACCGGACCUUACAGUUGGACCCACCAUCACAUCAACGCUACCGCGUAACCUGUCCCACAGAGGACCUAGAAGACUGAGAAGGCUAGAUCUCACCUGAUGAGCUUGGAGGGUCAGGCGGGUAGCUUCCACCGCAGCGGGGCUGUGGUCAAUCGCCAACAGCUGGCAGUAGCGCCGGCGGACGGGGGUCCAGCCCGGGGAUGAGGAGGACAGCUGCCGCAGCAGCAAUGCCAGGGAGGUUAUCACGUAGCCGCUGCCGGAGCCCAGCUCCAGGCAACUGCCGGCCGGGGAGGGAUAAGGGACGGUGUCGUUGAUCCUCAAAUGGGAAAUUGGGUUAGAGGUUGUUCUUAUGUAUGUAACGG
rnacentral:lncRNA from 1 species